rnacentral:rRNA from 1 species
UACGUAGGGUGCGAGCGUUAAUCGGAAUUACUGGGCGUAAAGCGUGCGCAGGCGGUUUUGCAAGACAGAUGUGAAAUCCCCGGGCCUAACCUGGGAACUGCAUUUGUGACUGCAAGGCUAGAGUGUGUCAGAGGGAGGUGGAAUUCCGCGUGUAGCAGUGAAAUGCGUAGAGAUGCGGAGGAACACCGAUGGCGAAGGCAGCCUCCUGGGAUAACACUGACGCUCAUGCACGAAAGCGUGGGGAGCAAACAGG